rnacentral:lncRNA from 1 species
CUUGGAUCUCAUUUAUGUGAAACAUCAAGAAUAAGCAGGGCUGGGGAUUUAGCUCAGUGGUUCUGGCGCCUGCCUUGAAAGUGCAAGGUCCCGAGUUCAAUCCCUGGUACUUAAAAAAAAUUAAAAAAAAAAAGAAUAAGCAAAUAAUGUACCAACAGAAGGCAAGUUAAUGGUUGCCAGAGUAUAGCAGGGAGGGAGAAAUGAAGAAUGAUUGCUUAACAGGUAUGUGAUUUUCUUUUGAUGAAAAUAUUCUGCAACUAGACAAUGGCAUUGAAUGCACAAUGCCGUGAAUGUCCUAUGUGUCACUAAGGCUGAAGAAAAUCUAGGGUUCAUCCUAGAAAAGGAACCACUUCUGAACCAAGCCACCUUGGACAGGGAUACAUUCAAGGUCAGCAUGAUGAAUAGGCAGAGAAAGAGGUCAAACAGCCCUCUCAAGCCAGAAGAGUUGGUCAACGGCCUUGUUCAAAGAGAAUUUCUCCACUUUGGGGGUGCUGAAGGGAGGAGGGAAGAUUUGGAAUGCAACAGGUUUCUCUCUGUUGCCCAGGCUGGCUUUGAACCCCUACACACAAGCAAUCCUCCUGCCUCAGCCUCCUGAGUAGCUUGGACUGUUGGUACAUGGCACUGCACCUGGCUUAUAUUUUAUAACUUACAAAUAAAUUUUACUUGUAAAACAAUAUACAUGUCUGGCAUUCAAAAAUGGCUACAGUUGCCGGGGAUUUAGCUCAGUGGUUUUGCCGCCUGCUGCGCAAGCUCAAGGACCCGAGUUCAAUCCCUGGUACCAAAAAAAAAAAAAAUGGCUACAGUUAUAAAAUCAGAAGCCAUGAGCAGAAUCAGAGGAGGUGUUGGAAUUUCAAAAUCUUUAUGAAUAAUAUAUUUGAAGUAUGUCCAAAAAAAGAACAGAAGAGGCAAUAUAGAUAAUAUGAAGUUAGAAAGGUAUCCUAGG